rnacentral:sRNA from 1 species
GUUGAGGGAAGACUGGUCUAGGUGCUGCUCCUGAACUUGGUCUCUGAGCCAUGGCUUCCCAUAGGCACUCAGGUCCCUCCAGCUACAAGGUGGGCACCAUGGCGGAGAAGUUUGACUGCCACUACUGCAGGGAUCCCUUGCAGGGGAAGAAGUAUGUGCAAAAGGAUGGCCACCACUGCUGCCUGAAAUGCUUUGACAAGUUCUGUGCCAACACCUGUGUGGAAUGCCGCAAGCCCAUCGGUGCGGACUCCAAGGAGGUGCACUAUAAGAACCGCUUCUGGCACGACACCUGCUUCCGCUGUGCCAAGUGCCUUCACCCCUUGGCCAAUGAGACCUUUGUGGCCAAGGACAACAAGAUCCUGUGCAACAAGUGCACCACUCGGGAGGACUCCCCCAAGUGCAAGGGGUGCUUCAAGGCCAUUGUGGCAGGUACUGCCUCCUUCCCACCCCGGGUUCCCAGGGAGGAGGCCCUGAGGGCAGACGUGAUGUGGGCUUGCUUAUCACGGUGGGGCUAACGUUGCUCUGAGCUGCUUUGAGAUCUUAGCAUAUAUAUGUACACAUAUACAUACACGUAUAUAUGCGUACACAUAUAUGCUCGCACACACGCACACACUCGGAGACUAAAGAACACUGGCGAGAACAGCCUGUGGCAAGAGAAUGAAGUGAACAGUAUGUAGCGCUUUCUCAUUUGGGCGUAGUAAGUGAUGAAAGCAUGCUUCUUCCUCAGGGUGUCAUUCUGGGCCAGGCAGUCCCUGAUUUAAUGUCUAAGUGCACGCAGGGUAUAAAGGUG